AGUGUCAUUAUUUGUCAUUAUUACUUUUAAUAUAUUUGUGGUAUUUAGCUAUACGCGUUCGUAUGUAACGGAAAUCAGCCUUCCGUGUAAUUUUGUACGUCACGCAUUGCGGCAAAACUUUUAGCGCGCGCGCGGAAAUAGCACGCGUAAAUGCGAGUAAGGUACUGAGCGGAUGUGAUGUAAUGUGUUGUAAACCUGUUUGUCCAGUACGUAUUGUCUAUGUAUAGAAUACCUAGUAUUGAAUGUAGGGUAAUUUACCUGGUGCACUGGUCACUUUGAACAGAGCGGCCAGAGCGAGCACAGCGAACAUUUGUACACCUAUAUCUUUACCUAGCCAGCAUAGGAAUUAAAAGAGGUAGCGGGCACUAGAGCCAAAAGCAAAUAAUCUUACAUUGAACGAGUAAGACUGAGGACUCGGCGGACUUUGUCCGAGAAAACCCUCUUCACAUUGAAGAGGGUUUUUACUUACGUAAUAAAUUAACUGAGAAAAGAACCCAGGAGUUGUCGUAUAUCCACGAUAAAAGACGACUAUUACAUUGGCGCCCACGUAUCGUUGAUGGCCUAGUGUACCCGCCGACACGCUUGACGGGAUGGAUAUCUACCGACCGUAAAUGUAGACCGGACUGGAAAAUUCACCUGAGUGACCUAUUCCACCUGAUGACGGGAUGGAUUUCGUCUGUAUGUGAAUGCAGGAUGUAUACCAGAGAGGCACGCACGUACGCUCGAACGACCUUCGGACGACCUUGAUCAACGAGUGUUUUGUGUAUCACGCGACUGCAAUGUGCGCAGUUGAUUCUAUAUGUUAUUGGACCCGGAGAAGAACUGGACCUGUGCUGACCGUACACGGUAAAUGACAAUUGUGUACCAUUGACUUUCCACCCAUUUUACUAUAUAUCUUGUAUUUUCUUUCGUGAAACAUGAACUCUUAAUGGUGAAACUUGAUUUAUCUUAUUCAUUUCAUAAUUGUUCUGAUAUUUUUUUGUGUGUGUAUAUUUGUCUAAUAACUUCGUUCGGUAUUAUCUUUUGUACUUCCGGUAUUUUUCUUUGCAUUUCCGGUAAAUAUUGUGAACUUCCGGUAUUUUAUUUUGUACUUCCGGUAUUUUCUUUGUAUUUCCGGUAAAUAUUGUGAACUUCCGGUAAACCAUGGUACUUCCGGUAUAACUUUAACUUCUGGUCGAAUUUAACUUUCUGUAUUUUCGUACUUCCGGUACGCUGUCAAUUUCCGGUGACAUUUUUGAAAAAAAUCCAGUAUUAUUUAAUAUCUGUUAUCAGCAAACAUUUAUAUUUGUAUUGAGUUAUUGUAGUAGAAAGUAAUUGAAUUAUUUAAUUGUAUUUUUCAGUUAUUCAUUUUUUUUGUUCGCUUCAAUAUAUUUCUAGUUUGAAUUGAAUUUUGAUUUCACUCAUGAUUUAUUGAAAUGCUUUGAUUGAAUUUAUUUUUUUCCCUUCUCUUCAACUUUGAUUAUCUUGAUUGUUUUCAUAUUGAGCUUUCAUUUUUGAUUUUGUUUAGUACAAAUUGACGUUUCUUGGAUUUUUCAAAAUGUUUUUGUGAAUACAAAUUGUGUAUUUUUUUUUUUUGUUCUCGUGUCUUUAAAUUAAUUUAUACGUGGUUGUCGGAAAUAUACUUUG
rnacentral:lncRNA from 1 species